rnacentral:rRNA from 1 species
AGAGUUUGAUCCUGGCUCAGGAUGAACGCUAGCUACAGGCUUAACACAUGCAAGUCGAGGGGCAGCAUGUUGGUUGCUUGCAACCGAUGAUGGCGACCGGCGCACGGGUGAGUAACGCGUAUCCAACCUACCCUUGUCCAUCGGAUAACCCGUCGAAAGGCGGCCUAACACGAUAUGCGGUUCACCGCAGGCAUCUAACGUGAACGAAAUGUGAAGGAGAAGGAUGGGGAUGCGUCUGAUUAGCUUGUUGGCGGGGUAACGGCCCACCAAGGCGACGAUCAGUAGGGGUUCUGAGAGGAAGGUCCCCCACAUUGGAACUGAGACACGGUCCAAACUCCUACGGGAGGCAGCAGUGAGGAAUAUUGGUCAAUGGACGAGAGUCUGAACCAGCCAAGUAGCGUGCAGGAAGACGGCCCUAUGGGUUGUAAACUGCUUUUAUAGGGGGAUAAAGUGUGCCACGUGUGGCAUAUUGCAGGUACCCUAUGAAUAAGGACCGGCUAAUUCCGUGCCAGCAGCCGCGGUAAUACGGAAGGUCCGGGCGUUAUCCGGAUUUAUUGGGUUUAAAGGGAGCGUAGGCCGUCUUAUAAGCGUGUUGUGAAAUGUCGGGGCUCAACCUGGGCAUUGCAGCGCGAACUGUGAGACUUGAGUGCGCAGGAAGUAGGCGGAAUUCGUCGUGUAGCGGUGAAAUGCUUAGAUAUGACGAAGAACUCCGAUUGCGAAGGCAGCCUGCUGUAGCGCAACUGACGCUGAAGCUCGAAAGCGUGGGUAUCGAACAGGAUUAGAUACCCUGGUAGUCCACGCGGUAAACGAUGGAUGCUCGCUGUUUGCGUCUGACGUAAGCGGCCAAGCGAAAGCGUUAAGCAUCCCACCUGGGGAGUACGCCGGCAACGGUG